rnacentral:misc_RNA from 1 species
GAUGAAGAACGUAGCGAAAUGCGAUACUUGGUGUGAAUUGCAGAAUCCCGUGAACCAUCGAGUCUUUGAACGCAAGUUGCGCCCGAAGCCAUUAGGCCGAGGGCACGCCUGCCUGGGCGUCACACGUCGUUGCCCCCCCAUCUACUCCUUCGGGCUUGCGGGGGGCGGAUGAUGGCCUCCCGUGCGCCACGCCGCGCGGUUGGCAUAAAUGCCAAGUCCUCGGCGACGCACGCCACGACAAUCGGUGGUUGCGAAACCUCGGUUGCCCGUCGUGUGCGGUCGUCGCGCAUCGAGGGCUCGAAAAAAUUGCCGGGUUCCGGCUCGGCUUUCAACGCGACCCCAGGUCAGGCGGGGUUACCCGCUGAAUUUAAGCAUAUCAAUAAGCGGAGGA